rnacentral:rRNA from 1 species
AUUGAACGCUGGCGGCAUGCCUUACACAUGCAAGUCGAACGGCAGCACGGGAGCAAUCCUGGUGGCGAGUGGCGAACGGGUGAGUAAUAUAUCGGAACGUGCCCAGUCGUGGGGAUAACGUAGCGAAAGCUACGCUAAUACCGCAUACGAUCUAUGGAUGAAAGCGGGGGAUCGCAAGACCUCGCGCGAUUGGAGCGGCCGAUAUCAGAUUAGGUAGUUGGUGAGGUAAAGGCUCACCAAGCCGACGAUCUGUAGCUGGUCUCGAGAGGACGACCAGCCACACUGGGACUGAGACACGGCCCAGACUCCUACGGGAGGCAGCAGUGGGGAAUUUUGGACAAUGGGCGCAAGCCUGAUCCAGCAAUGCCGCGUGCAGGAUGAA